GCUGAUAUGGCUCAGUUUGGUAGAGCGCACCCUUGGUAAGGGUGAGGUCCCCAGUUCGACUCUGGGUAUCAGCACCA
rnacentral:tRNA from 2 species